CGAAUAGGGGAGCCGGAGGGAAACCGAGUCUUAACCGGGCGUUAAGUUGCAGGGUAUAGACCCGAAACCCGGUGAUCUAGCCAUGGGCAGGUUGAAGGUUGGGUAACACUAACUGGAGGACCGAACCGACUAAUGUUGAAAAAUUAGCGGAUGACCUGUGGCUGGGGGUGAAAGGCCAAUCAAACCGGGAGAUAGCUGGUUCUCCCCGAAAGCUAUUUAGGUAGCGCCUUGUGAAUUCAUCUCCGGGGGUAGAGCACUGUUUCGGCUAGGGGGCCAUCCCGGCUUACCAACCCGAUGCAAACUGCGAAUACCGGAGAAUGUUAUCACGGGAGACACACGGCGGGUGCUAACGUCCGUCGUGAAGAGGGAAACAACCCAGACCGCCAGCUAAGGUCCCAAAGUCAUGGUUAAGUGGGAAACGAUGUGGGAAGGCCCAGACAGCCAGGAUGUUGGCUUAGAAGCAGCCAUCAUUUAAAGAAAGCGUAAUAGCUCACUGGUCGAGUCGGCCUGCGCGGAAGAUGUAACGGGGCUAAACCAUGCACCGAAGCUGCGGCAGCGACACUGUGUGUUGUUGGGUAGGGGAGCGUUCUGUAAGCCUGUGAAGGUGUGUCGUGAGGCAUGCUGGAGGUAUCAGAAGUGCGAAUGCUGACAUAAGUAACGAUAAAGCGGGUGAAAAGCCCGCUCGCCGGAAGACCAAGGGUUCCUGUCCAACGUUAAUCGGGGCAGGGUGAGUCGACCCCUAAGGCGAGGCCGAAAGGCGUAGUCGAUGGGAAACGGGUUAAUAUUCCCGUACUUGGUGUUACUGCGAAGGGGGGACGGAGAAGGCUAUGUUGGCCGGGCGACGGUUGUCCCGGUUUAAGCGUGUAGGUGUGUGUUCCAGGUAAAUCCGGUUCACUUUAACACUGAGGCGUGACGACGAGGCACUACGGUGCUGAAGCAACAAAUGCCCUGCUUCCAGGAAAAGCCUCUAAGCAUCAGGUAACAUCAAAUCGUACCCCAAACCGACACAGGUGGUCAGGUAGAGAAUACCAAGGCGCUUGAGAGAACUCGGGUGAAGGAACUAGGCAAAAUGGUGCCGUAACUUCGGGAGAAGGCACGCUGACACGUAGGUGAAGUGAUUUACUCAUGGAGCUGAAGUCAGUCGAAGAUACCAGCUGGCUGCAACUGUUUAUUAAAAACACAGCACUGUGCAAACACGAAAGUGGACGUAUACGGUGUGACGCCUGCCCGGUGCCGGAAGGUUAAUUGAUGGGGUCAGCGCAAGCGAAGCUCCUGAUCGAAGCCCCGGUAAACGGCGGCCGUAACUAUAACGGUCCUAAGGUAGCGAAAUUCCUUGUCGGGUAAGUUCCGACCUGCACGAAUGGCGUAAUGAUGGCCAGGCUGUCUCCACCCGAGACUCAGUGAAAUUGAACUCGCUGUGAAGAUGCAGUGUACCCGCGGCAAGACGGAAAGACCCCGUGAACCUUUACUAUAGCUUGACACUGAACAUUGAGCCUUGAUGUGUAGGAUAGGUGGGAGGCUUUGAAGUGUGGACGCCAGUCUGCAUGGAGCCGACCUUGAAAUACCACCCUUUAAUGUUUGAUGUUCUAACGUGGACCCGUUACCCGGGUUGCGGACAGUGUCUGGUGGGUAGUUUGACUGGGGCGGUCUCCUCC
rnacentral:rRNA from 1 species